rnacentral:rRNA from 1 species
UACGUAGGGGGCUAGCGUUGUCCGGAAUCAUUGGGCGUAAAGCGCGUGUAGGCGGUCCGGUAAGUCCGCUGUGAAAGUCGGGGGCUCAACCCUCGAAUGCCGGUGGAUACUGUCGGGCUAGAGUGCGGAAGAGGCGAGUGGAAUUCCUGGUGUAGCGGUGAAAUGCGCAGAUAUCAGGAAGAACACCCGUGGCGAAGGCGGCUCUCUGGAACGCAACUGACGCUGAGACGCGAAAGCGUGGGGAGCAAACAGG